AAACAACGAGGCCGAGCUCAGCAGCGCGAGCUUGUAACCCGAGCGGGGGCAUUAAGGUGGUGUGGACGUUGCCGUAUGGCUGCGCGCCUGGGUUGGCAGUGCCAUAGAUGGCCCGCCCGUUCCAAGUUGCGUAGUUGGGCCGGCGGGGCU
rnacentral:misc_RNA from 1 species